UACAGAGGUGGCAAGCGUUGUUCGGAAUUACUGGGCGUAAAGGGCGCGUAGGCGGUCAGGUCAGUCCCGUGUGAAAUCCCUCGGCUCAACUGAGGAACUGCACGGGAAACUACCUGGCUUGAGUUCGGGAGAGGGAAGCGGAAUUCCGGGUGUAGCGGUGAAAUGCGUAGAGCUCGGGAAGAACAUCGGUGGCGAAAGCGCUCUACUGGACUGCAACUGACACUGAGGGACGAAAGCUAGGGGAGCGAAUGGG
rnacentral:rRNA from 1 species